GGGCAUAUGGUGUAGGGGUUAUCACGUUCGCUUUGCAUCCUGAGGGAUUCGAAAUUGCAUUGCGAAAGGUCUCCGGUUCAAAUCCAGAUUUGUCCA